GAAAAUUUUUUGGUGACACAAUACAACUAUGGUUUCCAGAAAAACUUGAUUCUGAGGGUGAAAAUGUGACUCUUUCCUGUAACUACAGUCUCACUAGCGGCACUAGUGUUGUUAUCCAGUGGUAUCGCCAGUAUCCUCCAGCACAACCAGAGUUUUUACUUCUUGUCACUGAAUAUUCAAGCAAAUCUGAGCCCAAACUAUGUCUAUAUUCAGAAGCUAAAAAAAAAUAAAAAGUGUGGAUCUGAUCAAAUCCACAUAAAAGCAGCCUAUAAUUUAUGUUUCAUGGAUUAUCAUGUGUAACACAUUGUGCUGGUAUAACGUGCCACAAGAUGGCAGUGUUCUCAGAAAUUCACUAAGAACUAGCAAUGUGCAAUGAACAACAGAACUGAACUUUGGUAUAAUGUGGCUCAGAGAGGAGGGACUCAGUGUUCACAGAGCUGACAUGAUCUAAUUAUGUCUGACAGAGACUUUGGAAGAAUCUAUUCAGUCUGACUCUUCUCAGAGUGAACACUUGCACAAUGGAUCUUCAUUCAGUUAUUCUGUUCUGUGCCUUAGAAGCUGCUGUCUUUGGAAAUGUUAUCAAACCAAACAAAACAACUGUUGUUUAUGAGGAGGGUUCAAAUAUUAUAUUAAUCUGUAGUCAUUCCCCUGGAAAUUCAGAUUACCUCCACUGGUACCGUCAGUAUGGAAGAUCAAAACCUGAAUUUCUUGUACUCACCUACGGUAGUUCAAAGGAAGCUGCAGUGUCUGAUGUAGAUCCAAGAUUCACUGUUAAAGUUGAAAAAAGGGAACAAAACCAUGCGGAUCUGAAUAUCUCCUCUGCUUCUGUAUCAGAUUCUGCUCUGUACUACUGUGCUCUGGCGCCCACAGUGACAGGAAACACAUCAGCUCUCUACAAAAACCUGCUAUAAUGAGAGACAAGAGAGAAACACAGAGACAGCGAUGAAGACAGAGAGAAAUAAGCUGUAACUGUUUUGUGUACAGUAUACAUUAUUAUAUAGGUCAGAAAAACUAAUAUAACCAAUGAAAAUAUAUCACAGGCAGCUACUAAAAUCUAAUAGUAGACAAAUCAUUUAACUAGAAUAUGAAAAAACAAACAAAAUACCAAAAAAAAAAAAAAAGUAUCAUUUUAAAGUAAUUUAAUCUUUGGCGAUAUGAAGAUGAAGUUUGUUAAAAUCCCACAGGACUGUCUUACAUUUUUUUUUUUUUUUUUGGUAAGUGCUGUCAAAUGUGUUUCCAUUUGUUUUGUAAACUUUGCUUUUACAAUCAGAAAUCAGUUUAUUUUUGCUUAUUUGUUGACAGGUUUUUGGCUGGAGACAACAUUGAGCCAGAUAAAGGGACAGAAAAAACCUCUAAAGGAACACAAACUGUCAAGCUGAGCUGCUCAUAUAGUACAUUUAGUGAUUAUGUUUGGCUUUACUGGUACAGACAGUAUCCAAACAGGGAACCACAUUAUUUGUUACCCAAGGGUGCACAAUCAUAUAGUUAUGAAGACACCUCUGAUGAUCGGUUUGAUUUGACUGCCCAGAGAUACAAAAUAUGAGACAUGUCAUACAAAAACCUUAAGCUCUUUUCACACACCACAAUCAAAACCCAAAUCUAUCCAUCCCAGAAUGUAAUAAAAUUUGUGGUAAGACCUGUAAAUUAGGCCGU
ensembl:lncRNA